AGUUGUAAUCGGUGUUUAAAGGGACGGAUUGAAGCUGAAGGUGUUAUCAUCAAGAAGCCGACCACGUUGAAUCAUUGAAAAUCAGAUGAGUGGGGCUAGAUUGUGUUCGAUAUUGGGCGAAUUAGGGUACGGAGGUCUCCAAUCUUGAAUGCAUUUGCUCCAGCUUUCGAACUCUCGGUAUUUCCUGUCUCUAGAAACCAUCCAAUUACAUGUUUCUUUUUAUAUGCAUUAUUGUUCUCAGAUUGCUUUCUAGAUUGUAGGAAGUUCAAUUUUGUAGUUAGGCUGCUAUUUCACAAUGUUCUUGGCCCCAAUUUGUUAGUCAGGGUCAACGAGUUUUCUAUCUUCAAUAGAAACAUGUUAGAUAGAGCAUGUUUAAUACUGAUACUGCUAGAGGAUCUAAUAUUGUGUUUGUGUAUGUGUUUGAAUUUUCAGGUAUGAACAGUUUACAUAUAAUGUAAACGACAUGUCUACGACUGUAAAUAUGUGAUAAUGAUUCUCGACUGAAGCAAGCAUGGUUUGUAUUUCGCAUCCAUGAUUCAAUUCAUUGUAGUUUGAUCGUAUUUGGGAUGUGUGUUUGGCCAAUUUGAUGUUUGUAAGCGUUCUCGUCUUUCUUCUUCGCACCAUUUUAUUUUUAUUUUUAUGUGAAUUGGUGACGUUCAUAUGUAAAUGAUUACAAUUUAGUGUUGAUUGAGUAACUGAUCUAUUGAUUUACGUGUUUAGCUUUUCAAUUUGACUGUGAUUAUAUUUUGACAGUUACAAGAUCUUAUAUUUUUACUGUCGAAAGUAACAAUGCAGGGGUCAUGGCUCCUCCGUUCACGCUUUCAAAAGAUAAGAUUGAAUUACAGUUUGCAACAAAUCAUUUAGGUCAUUUUCUUUUGACGAAUCUGUUACUUGAGACCAUGAAGACUACUUCA